rnacentral:rRNA from 1 species
UACGGAGGGUGCAAGCGUUAUCCGGAUUCACUGGGUUUAAAGGGUGCGUAGGCGGCGCGGUAAGUCGGGUGUGAAAUCUCGGAGCUUAACUCCGAAACUGCAUUCGAUACUGCCGUGCUUGAGGACUGGAGAGGAGACUGGAAUCAUGGUGUAGCAGUGAAAUGCGUAGAGAUCAUGAGGAAGACCAGUGGCGAAGGCGGGUCUCUGGACAGUUCCUGACGCUGAGGCACGAAGGUCAGGGGAGCAAACGGG